GAAUGAAUUAACGUUAUACUCCAAAUAAGAAGAUGCGCACAUUACAAAAUUGGAAACCGUGAAAGAACGAUAUAUCCAGGCAAGCAAAAGAAAACGGGAAGGAAAUCCCACUAAAGAUUUCCUUCCCUAUCCACAAGACAACAAAAAACAGAUAAGGAUGAAGAACUUCCAAGUUGCAGCAAUCCUGGUACUCGUUCUGUUCUUAGCGACAAGCGAGGUGAUAGUGGGGAUGUAUGGGGGGAAUCUCUGUGUGAAGAAUUAUGAUUCUCCCAACUGCCAGAAUCAAGUGUGCAACACCUUGUGCGCCAAGACUAAGACUAAGGGAGCCAUAUUGAAGCCUUAGGGGGCAUGUAGUAAGGAUGGAUCCAAGUGCAUUUGCAUUCAAAUUUGCUAAGCCUGCCUUUGCUCACGAGGUCAUUUGGCUUUACCUUCAACACCCAUGUCCACAAGUUCAUUUGGCUUUCUGUAACCUGUCUUCAAUAAAGUGAUCAUUUUGUGACC